rnacentral:rRNA from 1 species
CAGCAGCCACGGUAAUACGUAGGGUGCAAGCGUUAAUCGGAAUUACUGGGCGUAAAGCGUGCGCAGGCGGUUUGUUAAGACAGAUGUGAAAUCCCCGGGCUCAACCUGGGAACUGCAUUUGUGACUGGCAGGCUAGAGUAUGGCAGAGGGGGGUGGAAUUCCGCGUGUAGCAGUGAAAUGCGUAGAUAUGCGGAGGAACACCGAUGGCGAAGGCAGCCCCCUGGGCCAAUACUGACGCUCAUGCACGAAAGCGUGGGGAGCAAACAGGAUUAGAUACCCGCGUAGUCCCUGUCUCUAAUAC